GACGAACGCUGGCGGCGUGCUUAACACAUGCAAGUCGAACGGAAAGGCCUCUUUCGGGGGGUACUCGAGUGGCGAACGGGUGAGUAACACGUGAGUAACCUGCCCUUGACUUUGGGAUAACUUCAGGAAACUGGGGCUAAUACCGGAUAGGAGCUCCUGCUGCAUGGUGGGGGUUGGAAAGUUUCGGCGGUUGGGGAUGGACUCGCGGCUUAUCAGCUUGUUGGUGGGGUAGUGGCUUACCAAGGCUUUGACGGGUAGCCGGCCUGAGAGGGUGACCGGCCACAUUGGGACUGAGAUACGGCCCAGACUCCUACGGGAGGCAGCAGUGGGGAAUAUUGCACAAUGGGUGGAAGCCUGAUGCAGCAACGCCGUGUGCGGGAUGACGGCCUACGGGUUGUAAACCGCUUUCGCUCAUGACGAAGCUUUGUGUGACGGUAGUGGGUAAAGAAGCACCGGCUAACUACGUG
rnacentral:rRNA from 1 species